UCCGAGUUGUCCCCGGCAGUCUCCUAUGAGUCCCCGACUUAACUCGCUGGUAACAUAGGACAAGGGUUGCGCUCGUUGCGGGACUUAACCCAACAUCUCACGACACGAGCUGACGACAGCCAUGCACCACCUGUGCAAGCUCCCCUUGCGGGGUCGUCCCACUUUCAUGGUCCUACCACUUGCAUGUCAAGGCCAGGUAAGGUUCUUCGCAUUGCAUCGAAUUAAGCCACAUACUCCACCGCUUGUGCAGGCCCCCGUCAAUUUCUUUGAGUUUGAAUCUUGCGACCGUACUUCCCAGGCGGCGCGUUUAUCGCGUUAGCUUCGCCACAAAAGGGGUCGAUUCCUUUUACAGCAAACGCGCACCGUUUACGGCUAGGACUAC
rnacentral:misc_RNA from 1 species